rnacentral:rRNA from 1 species
GAUGAACGCUAGCGGCAGGCCUAACACAUGCAAGUCGAGGGGUAGAGGAAGCUUGCUUUCUUGAGACCGGCGCACGGGUGCGUAACGCGUAUGCAAUCUACCUUGUACAGAGGGAUAGCCCAGAGAAAUUUGGAUUAAUACCUCAUGGUAUUAUUGAAUGGCAUCAUUUGAUAAUUAAAGUUCCAACGGUACAAGAUGAGCAUGCGUCCUAUUAGCUAGAUGGUAAGGUAACGGCUUACCAUGGCUACGAUAGGUAGGGGUCCUGAGAGGGAGAUCCCCCACACUGGUACUGAGACACGGACCAGACUCCUACGGGAGGCAGCAGUGAGGAAUAUUGGACAAUGGGCGCAAGCCUGAUCCAGCCAUGCCGCGUGCAGGAAGACGCAUCUAUGGUGUGUAAACUGCUUUUGUACGGGAAGAAACACUUCCUCGUGAGGGAGCUUGACGGUACCGUAAGAAUAAGGAUCGGCUAACUCCGUGCCAGCCGCCGCGGUAACAC